AGUGCUGGUAUGAUCGCA
rnacentral:snRNA from 1 species